UACGUAGGGGGCAAGCGUUGUCCGGAAUCAUUGGGCGUAAAGAGCGUGUAGGCGGUCCGGUAAGUCCGCUGUGAAAGUCGGGGGCUCAACCCUCGAAUGCCGGUGGAUACUGUAGGGCUAGAGUGCGGAAGAGGCGAGUGGAAUUCCUGGUGUAGCGGUGAAAUGCGCAGAUAUCAGGAGGAACACCAAUUGCGAAGGCAGCUCGCUGGGACGUAACUGACGCUGAGACGCGAAAGCGUGGGGAGCAAACAGG
rnacentral:rRNA from 1 species